GCCUGGGAACAGAAGGGUAGCCGAUUAGGGUUUGGUGGAGCAGAGAAGACAACGAAGAGUACCUCUGUCUCUUGCCUCCGCUAUCAUUCGUGGAUUCAAUGUUGGCUUGGUGACUCGAUCGAAGAUGGAGACCCAAUGGAUCGCCGAGCUACCGCACGCGGCCACGGACAAGCGCCCGCGGAAGAGGCCCAGGCUCGCGUGGGAUGUGCCCCCUCCGAUUCCCCCUUCCAUGGUUCCUCUGACGCUAUACUGUGGGAUGGAAGCUGCACAAAUGGCUACUAUGAACCAGCACUUGCAAUCAUUCUACUACGGUGGAGUACCUCGAUAUUGUUCUCCUCCUUGGAGGGGUGACGACAAAGAUGGUCAUUAUAUUUUUGGCAUCGGCGAGAAUCUAACACCAAGAUAUAGGAUACUGAACAAAAUGGGUGAAGGAACAUUUGGACAAGUCCUGGAAUGCUGGGACCUGGAAAAUAAAGAACCUGUGGCUAUCAAAAUUGUGCGUUCUCUCCAGAAAUAUCGUGAGGCUGCAAUGAUCGAGAUUGAUGUACUUCAAAGGCUUGCAAAAGCUGACAGAAGUGGCACUCGUUGUGUGCAAAUACGGAAUUGGUUCGACUAUCGCAACCAUAUAUGUAUAGUCUUUGAGAAACUUGGACCAAGCUUAUAUGACUUUCUUCGGAGAAACAGCUACCGCUCUUUCCCCAUUGACUUAGUCCGCGAACUUGCCGGGCAGCUUCUGGAGUCUGUUGCAUUUAUGCAUGACUUGCGGUUAAUUCAUACUGAUCUGAAGCCAGAGAAUAUUCUUCUCGUCUCCUCUGAAUAUAUAAAGGUUCCUGAUCACAAGUUUCUAUCACGAUCAGCCAAGGAUGGUUCACUUUUCAAGAAUCUGCCAAAAUCUAGUGCUAUCAAGUUAAUUGACUUUGGAAGCACGACAUUUGAACACCAGGACCACAGUUACGUAGUUUCAACAAGGCAUUAUCGUGCACCUGAGGUUAUUCUUGGACUUGGGUGGAACUAUCCCUGUGAUAUGUGGAGUGUGGGUUGUAUUCUUGUUGAGCUUUGCUCGGGUGAGGCACUCUUUCAAACUCAUGAAAAUUUGGAGCAUUUAGCUAUGAUGGAAAAGGUGUUAGGACCACUUCCACAGCACAUGAUUGUUAGAGCUAAUGUCCAUAAUAGCCAGCGUGCGGAGAAAUAUUUCAGGCAAGGUCGAGGAUUGCGAUUAGACUGGCCCGAAGGGGCAACCUCAAGGGAAAGCAUCAGAGCAGUUUGGAGAUUGCCUCGCCUUCAGAAUCUGGUUAUGCAACAUGUUGAUCACUCUGCUGGUGAUUUAAUUGAUCUUCUGCAAGGGCUUCUCCAUUAUGAUCCGGCUCAGCGUCUAAAAGCCCGAGAAGCCCUUAGACACCCGUUUUUCACCAGAGAUCUGAGAAGAUGUGGUUACUCUUUGAACUAAGGGCUUUACUCUUCUUUCUUAAGUCAAGUUUGUAAGGGAAUUGUAAAAAAUCUCAGGGUUUUUCUUCUCUUGCAGAGUUUCAGAUGAACAGGCAGCAAAUUCUGUGUACACAAUUUAGGGCACAUAUCAGACGGAAGUUUGGAUGCAAGUUCUAAAACAUGGUCAUGGCUUCGUGUUUUGUUUGUUGGGUUUAACUUUAGCUCAGUGUUCGUAGCAUCCCUCCAUUGGAUCAACCAACCAUUGGCUCAAGGUAGGUGAAAUACACUGGUUUCAAGCACAACUAUGUUGUGACCUGGAGGCCCAAGUAAUCAUUCUAUUCUUUUUGGAGGAGUCAUCUUAUCAUAAUUGUGUUUUUUCUUUCGGUAGCAGGUAUUGAACGAUCCACUCAUUCUUCUUUUGGGGCCACCGUAUGUAUUCUCAUCUUUAAUAUGUCAAUUAAGAGUCAAUUUGAUUUGUUUUGUUUUGGGAUUGGAAUGUUAUUUCUACAAAGAACUUGUUUUCAUUCUCGUCUAACAUUUAGUGCUUGAAGGUAUUAAUUAGAAUUUGCUUUUGGUAUAUUGUUUGCUACUUCUGCGAAAUUUCUAAUAAGCAUUGUUAAAUCAUUUAGCUUGUCAUACUAUACUAAUGAUACUAAGCUGAGGUGUAAGACUAUUUACUUGGUGUGAUAGUAGUCUUCUAUCAACAUUUUUUUCCAAAUAUAAUUUGAUUUCAAUCACAAUAUUCAUUGCUUAGUAAUUCUUUAGUCUUACUCUUAAAUAGUUAAUAUUAUUUUUCACCUUAAGUUUGUACCAAUUAGACUGUCUUCCUCCAAUGAUAUACAUGUGAUGCAUUGGAUAAUUUGCCGGCCUUAUGGAAGCAUAUAUUGUGUUCUCCUGAAACUGAAUGAAACAAAAUUUUGCUGUUUAGUGCACGGUAAGUUGCCUUGUUCUGUUAUUAUCUAUUGCAGAUUCUAUAUAAUAGAAGGCUCAACAUUUAAACAAAUUUAUUUUGAUAUCAGAUUCAAGAUUCUCUUUAUUUUCCGUCAUCAUGAAUGACGAGUUUUGCUGGCCUGAUAGUAGGGCAAAUGCCGCUGGCUUUUCUUUUAGAUACUUCUUCCUAACUCAUCUUGGUUGCGAGUGGUAUGGUGAUGGAUUGCAUAGUUCUGAUGUUCCUUUUCAGCAAGAGCAUGAAGGAACUAAAGAGGAUUAAAUUUGUGUUUUAGACUUUACAAUGACUAAUGCUGAUUGAGAUUUUAUGUUCACCUGCAUUUACACACGUCUAUUUGUUUUUUCUUCCUAUAAGAGAAGGGUCUUGUGGAGGCAUACUGGAUGCAAAAGGUAAACCUCGCUAGUUGAAGUUCUUUGUCAAACAAUUAUAGAUUUUGCAAGUUGUGUUUUUUUUGGCUCUUUUUUUUUUCUUCUCGGUUGAACAAAAAUGGUGUGAUUGUGUUACACUUAUCGUCGAGGAGGUUAUUUCUUCAGUAAGAAAACUGAUACUAAGAUAAAGAUAUUUCCUCUUCGAAAAAUCCUUUGUUUCCUUUUUUUCCUGAAUCGUAAAUUAAUUUUAUUCUCUCCUUUGCCUAUCCGACUCAGUGUCCAUAACCAUAAGAAGCCUGAUGAUGACAAAUUCGAACUUGUCAUGAAUUUGGAUACAGAUCCUGUGGCUACACUGGAUACUGGUCGAGUUUUAUAAACUGAUAUGAAGUUGUUUGAUACUAAAUUCUGCAUUGUCUCCUCACAGGUCAGCCAAAGAUUAGCCAAGACAACAACUGGGGCUUUGUAUGAGUUCAUAACAGGCUCAGUAUAACUGGUCAAAGGAACCUGAUACAGAGAAAGUUGAACCAACAAAGGAUGUAACUUACAAGCUUCAAGGCAAGGGUGAGUUUUCUUGGGCCAUGAUUUCUCUUCCGUAGAAUGUGACUCGCUGGAAUUAUUGACAUGUCCAGAAAUACUUGUGUAAGUAUGAUACCUCAUAGAUUUAUGUUUGCGGCCUUCGACUGUUGACAUCCCAAUAAGUGUCUCAAUGUGUGUUUGAUUGUUCUGCUCGUGUAAGUUUUCUCCAUUUAGAGAUGACGAUAUGCACUGGAAUCGAUGCAUUAUACUUAUUAUAACUCUUCUUUUGGGA